rnacentral:rRNA from 1 species
GACGAACGCUGGCGGCGUGCUUAACACAUGCAAGUCGAACGGAAAGGACCUGCUUUUGUGGGGUGCUCGAGUGGCGAACGGGUGAGUAACACGUGAGUAACCUGCCCUUGACUUUGGGAUAACUUCAGGAAACUGGGGCUAAUACCGGAUAGGAGCUCCUGCUGCAUGGUGGGGGUUGGAAAGUUUCGGCGGUUGGGGAUGGACUCGCGGCUUAUCAGCUUGUUGGUGGGGUAGUGGCUUACCAAGGCUUUGACGGGUAGCCGGCCUGAGAGGGUGACCGGCCACAUUGGGACUGAGAUACGGCCCAGACUCCUACGGGAGGCAGCAGUGGGGAAUAUUGCACAAUGGGCGGAAGCCUGAUGCAGCAACGCCGCGUGCGGGAUGACGGCCUUCGGGUUGUAAACCGCUUUCGCCUGUGACGAAGCGUGAGUGACGGUAAUGGGUAAAGAAGCACCGGCUAACUACGUG